UAAGGAAUAUUGCUCAAUGGGAGAAAUCCUGAAGCAGCAACGCCGCGUGGAGGAUGAAGUGUCUAUGACUUGUAAACUCCUGUAAAGAAGGAAAAAAUUCCCAUUUGAUGGGAGAUGAUGGUACUUCUGGAGUAAGCCCCGGCUAACUACGUGCCAGCAGCCGCGGUAAUACGUAGGGGGCAAGCGUUGUCCGGAUUUACUGGGUGUAAAGGGUGCUCAGGCGGAUUUGUAAGUCAGAGGUGAAAUCUUACAGCUUAACUGUGAAACUGCCUUUGAUACUGCAAGCCUAGAGUAUGGAAGAGAGUGAUGGAAUAUCUGGUGUAGCAGUGAAAUGCGUAGAUAUCAGAUAGAACACCAAUGGCGAAGGCAGUCACUUGGUCCAUUACUGACGCUAAAGCACGAAAGCGUGGGUAGCAAACA
rnacentral:rRNA from 1 species